GUCAAGAAUUGCUCUGUCAACUUAAAGCAAUUCUCUCCCACCUGGGUUUUCCGAAACAUGGUGCGUUCGGGUCCAUCUCGCCCUCAGUCCCCGCUCCAACGGAGGUCCCGUUCCCGCCGCCACGGAAGGUCUCGUUCCCGUUCCGGACGCCGCCACGGAAGGUCCCGUUCCCGUUCCGGACGCCGCCACGGAAGGUCCCGUUCCCGUUCCGGACGGUCCCGUUCCCGUUCCGGACGCCGCCACGGGAGGUCCCGUUCCCGUUCCGGACGCCGCCACGGGAGGUCCCGUUCCCGUUCCGGACGCCGCCACGGGAGGUCCCGUUCCCGUUCCGGACGCCGCCACGGGAGGUCCCGUUCCCGUUCCGGACGCCGCCACGGAAGGUCCCGUUCCCGUCAGGGAAGAUCCCGAUCACCUCCGCCCCAGCGCCACCGCCCACGCCACCGGAGAGCGGAAGGGGCCUGGUCUCCGCUGCCAUUGACAUAUCAUGAGUCAUUUGAAGAACGGGUAGAUAUUGAAGAACGGGUAGAUAUUGAGGAGGAACAUUCGACUAUGUUGUGUGUAUACAAUUUGGGGGACCAAGUAACCAGUGAUGAUAUAAGACAAUUCUUUGCCCACGUUGGCCCUAUGGCUACUUGCACUCUCAAGUGCAAUAGGUUAGGGCAAUCAACGGGAAUCGCCGAAUUGGUCUACUCGUACCCUGGGGAUGCCAUCAGAGCUAUUAGAAUGUAUAGGGGUAUUACAUUGGACGGACGGUCACAGUCAUCCACCAACUCCUCAACAGGGCCACUUCAUCCUCUGGAGAUAUGAAUGUUGCAACAGAUAUUCUAGCCUUCUUCUCGUUGACAACAGCGCGGUGCUCAAUGCUCUUAUACAUCCCAUUGCUCCAGGCCUAGAAGAACAGUUUUACUAGGAGCCAUCUUCCUUUGUACUUGAUCUGGGGAACAGGUUUUACUGGGAGCCAUCUUCCUUUGUACUUGAUCUGGAGGCCACUGAUCUCGUCAUCUUGCAGAAGUAAAGUGAUGGUGCUGGCAUCAGAGUGUGGACUGAUUCGUAGAACAAGAUCAGGCUUAGCACAAGGUGGAUAAUAAGUUAUUCUGACACUUUGCUUCAUCUCCCUGUUCCAGAUGAAUAGUCCUCGACUGCUUCCCUGUGUUGCAAAACCAGCAAAAGGGAUGGAACAUUUUCAGGAUGAUUUCUUACAAGUUCUUGAACACUUGCAACAGUCAUGGAGCCCCCCAUCCCAAUCCCUCUGCCUUCUGCAUUCUGCAGUCCUAUGUUUCCAUAUUAGGUGAAUCAUUUAUUUAUACUAGUAGUUGUUCUUAGCUGGACAUUUUAUUUAAUUACUUUACUUUGCAUUAUGUUGAUUUGCCUCCUUCAUUAUAAGUAAAGUCCACACUUGAUAUCAUAACUUAUACAAGAUCUUCUGAUUCUACAGUUGUAUGCUUAUCUACCCCAAGCUCAUUUUUUCUUAAAAUAUACUGUAUAUAGCCCAACAGAAGUAUUAGUAUCCUAGGUCCAAUGAUACUAUCAGCAUAAGCCAAGAAGCCGGCAGACAGACAGUGACUUCAUCUUUCAAAGGAAGAAAACAUAAAACCAAAGUUAAAAAAUUUUGGGGUUUUCAAUUGGAUUGUACAGAAAGGAGCAGGGGAAGGACAUGCCAAUCUGCUAAACUUAUGCAUGGAAGACAGUCAUCCACUAUUGUUUCAACGGGCCCAACAUCCACCUGGUCUUCUGGAAUUACAAAUGCUGCAGUAGAGAUUCUAGCCUUUGUCUGGUUUGUAACAGCUCUGUGUUCAAUGCUUUUGUAUACCCAAUUACUCCAACCCUGAAAAACCAAGAAACCAAUAGCACUGUUUAGUUGCAGGCAUGGCUUAAAGCAUAUCAGGUUCAGGACAUUUAUGCAGGGCCCGUGAUCUCAUCUUCUUGCAGAAGUAGAGAUAUGGAGUAUUGGAGUUAAUGUCAGAAUGAGGUCUAACUCCAAGAACAAGAUCGGGUUAGCACAAGCAUACUGCUCGAUGGCUUCCCUGAGGACAAAGGCAUCAAAUCAUGAAGAUUGAAGAUUAAGCAUGAAAGAAUAUUAAUCAAUACUGCAGAGAUUGGAAGUGCAUACUUGAAGCCUACUAAUGUGGGUGGCCAGUACUUGGGUAUUUUGGUGGCAAUAUCACUAAGAACAUGGAGUCAUUCCAGUCAAGUUUUUGUUGAUCAGAGACUAUAGCGCCAUGAUCUAUCUCCUGCAAGGUUGCAUCUCCCUUCAAUUCUUUGGUAAAUGAAAAAGACAAGCAAGGGAGGAACAUCCUUAGCAUCGUUUCUGACAAUCUCCUGCACACUAGGUAUAGCCAAUGAUUUUCCCUCCAUCCUGCAGUUAAAACCCCCAAUCUUCUGCAGAAUUUGUAUAGCCAGUGUAAAGAAAUGGACCUUCCCCCUUCUUCAAAUAAGAAGAUGCCUCAGAAAUUAUCUUGUGCCGGCUAUAUAUGCUAGGCAGUUCCUUGUUUGACAUUUUGUGCUUGCAAAUUUAAUUUGUUCGUCCGUCUCUCUGUUUCCAGUAUUCUUCGAAUAAUCUUGUUGUUCGUUAGCCUAUUGGAAAUCGAUUCUUGUUUCUUUCGGUUGUUUAA